UACGUAGGGUGCAAGCGUUGUCCGGAAUUAUUGGGCGUAAAGAGCUCGUAGGCGGUUUGUUGCGUCGGCUGUGAAAUCCCGAGGCUCAACCUCGGGUCUGCAGUCGAUACGAGCAAACUAGAGUGUUGCAGGGGAGACUGGAAUUCCUGGUGUAGCGGUGAAAUGCGCAGAUAUCGAGGAGGAACACCGGUGGCGAAGGCGGGUCUCUGGGCAACAACUGACGCUGAGGAGCGAAAGCGUCGGGGAGCGAACAGG
rnacentral:rRNA from 1 species